rnacentral:rRNA from 1 species
UACGUAGGGUGCAAGCGUUGUCCGGAAUCAUUGGGCGUAAAGCGCGCGUAGGUGGUCAUGUAAGUCCGCUGUGAAAGUCAAAGGCUCAACCUUUGAAAGCCGGUGGAUACUGCAUGACUAGAGUACGGAAGAGGCGAGUGGAAUUCCUGGUGUAGCGGUGGAAUGCGCAGAUAUCAGGAGGAACACCAAUAGCGAAGGCAGCUCGCUGGGACGUUACUGACACUGAGGCGCGAAAGCGUGGGGGGCGAACAGG